rnacentral:snoRNA from 2 species
AUCAGUAAAAAAUCCAAUCGACAUUAUUCUUCCGACUGGGGCGGUAUAUGUUUAGCAUCAUAGAAA